AUGCGAUUGCUGUACUCGAUCACCUGGGAUGGGAAAGAGCCCAUGUCAUUGGCCAUUCAAUGGGUUAAUCAAGCUCUUCUCAAGCUGAUCAAGGUAUCAGAAAUGAAGGUUGUCCAGCAUGAUUGGACUGACUUGCCUAACAAUAGCCCUGGUGAGUAUUUCCAUGCUCAGAAUGAUUUCCCGGUCUCAUUUAUUCAUUCUCUGAAGCAUUUGUGCAUGUUAGAGAAUCCCGAGAUCGACCUAGUCUUCAAACUUUUUGAUGAAAGGAUGACUCUAAAAUGAUGAAAGAAUUCAUUGUCUUAAUGACGCCUUAUGCAAACUAUGCUAAAUAUAAUUGGGAAUGCGGUGAAGUUCACAAAGCAAGGCUACGUAUCAGUUGUAGCUUCCAUUGCAAAACUAAAGUCUUUAGCGGAGUGGCAACCAACCGAUUUCCAUCCAGUCUUUAGCAAUGUCCACUUCUACCUGAGAGUGCAGGUUGAUGGCUUUUGCAGUUUAGCUUCAUUUAGCAUGUAUAGAUUGUCCUUUUGUGCAAAACUCCUUAUCUUCAGCUCUCUCUCUCUCUCUCUCUCUGUCUCUCUCUCUCUCUCUCUCUCUCUCUCUCUCUCUCUCUCUCUCUCUCUCUCUCUCUCUCUCUCUCUCUCUCGGCUUGCUAUAUAUUGCUUUGCUUCAUGUUCUCUUGCACUGAUAAAUUUGAAUUACAGCGCAUCCCAUAUCAGAAAACAUGGCUGUCUUUUGUAAAAAUCGAUCUGGGUUAUCAUUGUCUUAAUGACGCAACUGACUUGGAUUCUCAUAACAAGUUAAGGACUCUGGCUGUGGCAUACAGCCACAAGAUAUUUCUCAAAUAUUUACCAGAUUUAUUCAUCCUCGAAGUGGAUCUAAUCGAGGUAGUGGCGGUGUAGGACUUGUACUUGCUAUUUGCAAAAGGUAGAUUGCACACUGCUUAACGCUUUUGCUCAAAUUGCAACUUUCUUUUCUUGUGUAAGCAUAUAUGGUCGUUUGGACGCUUUACUGAUUACUAGUUCGUCAAGCAUAUGAAGCCCUAUUGUCUCAUGCACACUAAACUGUGAGUCAGAAUGUCCAACCUUGGGAGGGCUUCAAAUGAGUUCAGUUGAAUCAGGAAAGAUCUAUGGAUCUUUGAACCUUAAAUUUUAUGCUUCUCGAAGCAUAAUAUCAAAUAGCAGCCCUUGAGGUUGUGGAU